rfam:Picea glauca, whole genome shotgun sequence.
UCUUAUGUACAUGCCUACAAUGUUAAUGUAUUGAAUCUCAUCAAACCUUCGUAGUUAAGAACAUUUGGACUAGAUUAGUACUGGGUUGGGUGACUGCCUGGGAAGUCCUAGUGUUUUACAUGCC